rnacentral:tRNA from 1 species
GGUAAGGUGGCUGAGCUUAGGCGGUGGAUUGUAGCCCCAUGUACAGAGGUUAGAGCCCUCUUCUUAUCA